rfam:Lactonifactor longoviformis DSM 17459 genome assembly, contig: EJ64DRAFT_scaffold00009.9
UAAGUAGAAUAAAUAAUCGCAGCUGGCAGGCCGAAAGGCGUCAGAUGAGGAAAGUCCGGGCUUCGCAGGGCAGGAUGCCGGAUAACGUCCGGUGGAGGCAACUCUAAGGAAAGUGCAACAGAAAUGUACCGCCAGAAAACUGGUAAGGGUGGAAGGGCAGUGUAAGAGACUACCGCCUUCCUGGUAACAGGAGGGGCAUAUGUAAACCCCAUCCGAAGCAAGACCGAACAAAAAGCAAUGUGGCUGCCCGUCACGCUUUUAGGUGGGUCGCUGGAACCUGCUGGCAACAGCAGGUCUAGAUAGAUGAUUAUUCACGACAUAACCCGGCUUAUCGUUUUGCUUAUGCC